UCUAAAUGCUAAUACAACCGCUAUGUCACUAAUCAGUAUAAGUAAAAAAAAGGUAAUGUUUUAAUUAGAGUUAAAAUAUUAAACGCUACCUUAAAAAGUUAUUGCCGAAUAGGGCUUUGAUACAAAGAUGUGAGAUGAAUAUAUUUAAUAGGCAUAUCUCACCAUCUUCUAUCUUGAAUCCAUAAUAAACAGGCAAGAAAAAUACCGAUUAAAAAAAUAAAAGCAAAAACAAAAAUAAACCUAAUCAGGCGUGGUUUCCCUUGUUGAUGGAGCACUAAAAACUCUGUUGGACAUGCUGGACUCCAAAACUUGAUUCAUUAGUGCUGGGUAGAGAGAGACAGUUUUCUCCCAAUUGGGUUCUCCUUCUUGAGGCGCUCGACCUUCAUUGGCCUUUCAUCAAGUGGUUUUUCUUUGUCCUAUCCAGGAAGGGGGACUUCUCUUCCCUUCCUUAUCCAGAAAAGUGGGUUGCCCUCUUCCCUUGCUAGUGGGAUUUGUGUAUAAAUAAUAGUGAUUUUGGUUUUUGCUAUACAUCUGAGCUAAUUGGAGAGGUUUUAGAUUUACCUCGUGUUUGCUGGUUUGGUUUAUUUUUGGGUGUUGCAUGCAAGGAAAGGGCCUCUUAGUGAGAACGCUUUCGCUGUUUGGAGCCAAGAUCGACGGGUUCAGAAGUUUAAAUGGGUGUGGUACCUCUCAGAAACGCUUUCCAGUGUCCCUCUUACAACACUCAGUCUCUAAAUGGCCAUCAAACCUAAGAGAGCUCUACCUCGCUGCUCGUUAGUGUCCCUUGGUUCAGAUCUUGCUUCAACCAUGGUUGUGUUUUUUGAUGCUCUUGAGAUCUUUCUUAGCAGCUCAACCUCCUGGAGAAGUUCUAUAUAAGGAAUCAUCUUUUAUGUUAACCUUGUUAGUCGAUUCCUGGUGCUUCAUCUAUCUACUUGUCUCUCAAGGAUGACCUAUCUGGUUUUGAUUCUUGGAGGAGGGACAUUGUUUCUACUGACUACUGAGCCCUUCCUCCCAUGUGGCUCGGAUUUGGAGUUAGGGUUCUAUUGGGUUUGAACUCGGUAUCCAGCCUUGCUAAUUUGGGUUGGAUUGUAUUUUACGACCCCAUUUUUUGUUGGCCUGGUUUUAGCUAUGGAUUUGCAUUUUUUGAGCUUUAUUUAUUUAUAGUGAUCUGUCUCUCUUUGUAUUGGCCACUGACCUUUUAUAUCUACAAUAUAUAUUUUAUCUUAAAAAAAAAAUAACCAAGAAAAUGUACAUAAUAUAGAAAAUAAUAAUAUAAUGCAAAGGCAUUGGAUACGCAUCACCUUGGUUCUAAAG
rnacentral:misc_RNA from 1 species